GAGUUUGAUCGUGGCUCAGGACGAACGCUGGCGGCGCGCCUAACACAUGCAAGUCGAACGAGCGAGAGAGAGCUUGCUUUCUCGAGCGAGUGGCGAACGGGUGAGUAACGCGUGAGGAACCUGCCUCAAAGAGGGGGACAACAGUUGGAAACGACUGCUAAUACCGCAUAAGCCCACGGGUCGGCAUCGACCAGAGGGAAAAGGAGCAAUCCGCUUUGAGAUGGCCUCGCGUCCGAUUAGCUGGUUGGUGAGGUAACGGCCCACCAAGGCGACGAUCGGUAGCCGGACUGAGAGGUUGAACGGCCACAUUGGGACUGAGACACGGCCCAGACUCCUACGGGAGGCAGCAGUGGGGAAUAUUGGGCAAUGGGCGAAAGCCUGACCCAGCAACGCCGCGUGAAGGAAGAAGGUCUUCGGAUUGUAAACUUCUUUUAU
rnacentral:rRNA from 1 species